rnacentral:rRNA from 1 species
GGAUUAGAUACCCUGGUAGUCCACGCCGUAAACGAUGAGAACUAGACGUUGGCUGACAUAGUCGGCCAGUGUCGCAGCAAACGCGUUAAGUUCUCCGCCUGGGGAGUACGGCCGCAAGGUUGAAACUCAAAGGAAUUGACGGGGGCCCGCACAAGCGGUGGAGCAUGUGGUUUAAUUCGAUGCAACGCGAAGAACCUUACCUGCCCUUGACAUCCUCGGAAUUUGGCAGAGAUGCCUUAGUGCCCUCGGGAACCGAGUGACAGGUGCUGCAUGGCUGUCGUCAGCUCGUGCCG